rnacentral:lncRNA from 1 species
AAUGCCAACUUCUUUAACAAGUAUUUGGACAUGUUUUUAGUAAUCAUUCUGGUUUUGGGAAAAAAAUGAGACAUCUGUAAUCAUCAUUCUACAACCAAAUCAUUUCUUAAAACAACAGUUAUGUUUAGAUUGAGGUACACAUUGAUCUUAUGUGAACAAAACAAAGAUUUUUUGUUACUGUGCGAGGUCAAAAUCGAUCACGUCCACUUGGUUAGUACCUAUAUCUGGUGUACUGUGAGUGCACUAUAAAUGGUUAAAAAUCUAUUAUAGUGUCAGAAAAAAGAAUCAUUAACCUGAAUUACUUCAUACAUAGUAUGGUUGCGUGUCUUAAGAUUGAAGCACUUUUAAUUGAAUCAAUUGUUCUAUAGAAAUGGUACAAAAAUUAUCAUAUUUAGUAUUAUAUACACUUCAAUUUGAUAAUUCAAGAAAAAUAAACUUUUAUGAUAGUGCUUUAGAUGUUGUGUUUAAACUUUUAAUUAUAGUGUAUAUAGUGUAUAUUUUAUGUAAUAUUGUAUAUAUAGUCUUACAAUAAUAGAAUUGGUAGGAAGAAUGAAGUUGGGUGUAUUUAUACAUGUGUCAUUUGAUAAUGGUGAUAUAACAGUUAGUUAUGUUUUAUUUAUGUUAGAAGAAUAACACUACAUUUAAAAAAAAAUUAGUAUUUUAAUUGCAUGCUAUGUGCAUGUAGUUGAAAUUUCGUUAUAAGGGCAAGCUAUAUGCAUGUAGUUAACUUUUUGUUAUUUCAUCAAAAUAAUUUUAGAAGUUCUGGUAUAAGUAAUUUCAAUCUGAAUCUGAAUAUUGUGACUUAGUGCAAUUGUAUUUUUUAAUACCAACUCUGAUGAAUUAUUUCCAGUUAAUAUAUUAUUACUGUGUUCAUUGUGAUUUUUCCAAACUGAUUGACAAAGUGCUGGAAUGCUUCUUUUAUUUAAAAGUUUAAUGAUAAUGAAAUUACAAAAUUAGAGAAAUUCUUAAAUAAAGAAUAUUGAUAAAGCAUAAUGUGUCGGCAGCUGCUUCUGUGUGAAUUAUCACAGAAAAAAAUAUGAAAAUAAUUUGCCAUUUUCACAUUUUUAACUUAAAAUUGUAAAAUUUGCUUAACAAAUUGUAUUCUAAACAUUAAAUAUCCAACAAAAAAUUUCAGCAAAUAGUUAGAAAUGUGUUUAAAUUUUGGCACACUUUGGGACUUUCAUAAAAUAAAAAAAACAUCAACUAGAAUUUCUACUUUUUGUAAUACAUGUAAUAUGUGAACAUGUGUUCGAAUUGGUAGCCAUUUUAGUACACCAAAUUUUGGGAACUUCAAAUGAUAUUAUCAUAAUGUUAUACUAGCUAGGUUGUGUAUUGAAUAUUUUCCCUAUAGUGAUGUUUUAAGCUCAAUAAUUAUUAGACAAUAUGAAAUCUCAUCACAUAUCCUUCUCAUUUUAUUUAUGUUUUAUUCCAAAUAUUUAGUAAUAGUAUUCAUACCAUAAAUAAACUAACUAAAUGCUUCAUGUUUAAGAGGAUGAGAAAAUCUUAAGUUGUCCUAACUAAAUGCUUCAGGUUUAAGAGGAUGAGAAAAUCUUAAGUUGUCCUAUAAAAUCUUUAUUUAAUUUCUGGCCAUUAGAGCAGUCAUAGUACUGUAAAAAUAAAGAAAACAACUUUUUUUCACUGCCAGUAGAAAUUAUUGUUUUGUUCUAUAUAAAGCUGAAAUACUAAUUACUUUGUUUUAUAAACUUAAGAACUGAUUGUUUUGUUCUAUAAAUGAAUUAAUAAUAGUUUUGAUCUAUAAACUGAAUAAAUAAUAGUUUUGAUCUAUAAACUGAAUAAAGAAUUGUUUUGUUCUAUAAACUGAAUAAAGAAUUGUUUUGUUCUAUAAACUGAGUUUAUAAUAGUUUUGUUCUUUAAACAUGAUAAACUGAAUUUAUAAUUGUUUUGCUCUUUAAACAUGAUAAACUGAAUUUAUAAUUGUUUUAUUCUAUAAACAUGAUAAACUGACUUGUUUUGUUCUAUAAACUGAAUAAAUAACUGUUUUGUUGUAUAAACUGAAUUUAUAAUUGUUUUGUUCGAUAAACUGUAAAAAUAUUGUUUUGUUCUAAAAAAAUAAAGAAAAGUUCAUAACCAAACAAACUAAUAUAGUUUUCAUUUACAGUCGACUCUUUUAUCUCGAAGUCAGCCGGCACCAGAGAAAAUAUUUCGAGAUACACGUAGUUCGACUCAAACGAAAACCGGAAGUUUGACAGAACAAGGGACAACAACUCUUGCUUAGCUUGGGUAAAGCUAAAAUAAAUCCGGAUGAAUAUUGGGAAGGGGAUCGAUAUUCUGGUAUCAGAUCGAUGUAUUUGUUUUGUCAUGGUCUUUCAUUAUUAUAAUAACAUUACUUUUUACUUAUUAAUUGUUUCAGAUACAUUUUUUUUCCUAUGGCUUUUAUCGAGAGAGUAAUUUCCAAUCGAUAGUUUCAUUAUUUAGGUCGUUUAUAGUUGACAAAAGUGUUUAUUCUCGGAUACAAGAGACUUUAGAUAAUUAGAUUUUCUCGUCAUUUUGUUUUAUCUCACUCUUUUCUUUUCAAAAGAAAACACAACAAGAUUUAAAAAACGCCGAUUGAGUAUUUUAGGUGAUCAUCAACGGAAAGUCAUAUCCUUACUUAUACCACAACCAAGCUCAUUAGUUUUAAAUAACAAUUAAUUGUUUUGUAAACAUUUUAAAUACUUUCCAUGAACAAUAACAAUGAAUCACUAAUUAUUUAUAAAAAUUCUAUAAAAGAAAAUCUCAGGUAAACACUCGUGGAAAUAGCAUGUCAUAAAUCAUUACAGUGGUCAGUGACUGGAAAUUUAAUUACACGUGUAUUGUCAGAUAUACCUCUUCGAUCCAUUAAAAAUGCCGGGAUGUCAUGUUUGUAAUCAAUAAUGUAUUAGUUCGAGAUAAAAUUAUGAAUUUUGAAUGCUUUUUAAACCUUGGAUUGUUAAUUUUAGUUCGACUCAACUGAAAUUUCGACUCAUCCAAUUUCGACUUCAUCAGAAGUUGAAUUACAUACAUUUAUAUGGAACAAAGUUCGGGACCACGUGAAAACUUCGACUCAUCUGAAAUUUCGAGUCAACGAGUUCGACGACAACGAGAGUUAACUGUAUAUGGUUUUACUGGUGAAUUGCAACAAAUACAUGCAAUUUCUAAAAACAAAGACUAUUUUUUUUAAAUAACAUCAUGUUCUACUGUUACACAAAUAUCCAGCAUGGCAAGGAUUUUUUUUAAAAUAAUAAACUUCUUUUUAAUUUUUAGUUGUUUUAUAUAAAGGUAUAUUUGAAAUCUAUUAAAAACUGUGUUAAAUAUUUGUAUCAUGAAACAAGUAACUUUAUUUAAAAAUGCAAGGUGAAGGAGUACAUCUCAAUUUGAAUAGGGUUUAAUAACAUUAAGUUAUGGUUUAUAACUUAUAGAAUGGAGAAAAAAAUAUAUGCUCAAUAGGCAAACAUUUUUUUUUCUUUUCAAGAAAUUUACCCCCCAAUAUUAGCUUCUACACAAAAUUGCAUAGUAGAUUUUUUUUAACGAGAUCAUAAGUUUUGACUUAAAUUUGACAGUGUAGUACAACUGAAGAACAUUGAUAUAAUAAACUGCAAUUGUAAGUCCAUCUAAUAAAAGUAGUGUAAUCAUAUGAUAUUGUUUAGUGAUGUACCUUUUUUGUCAACUGUUUGUUAAAAACAACAAUUUUCUAAUAAUUUUUUGUUAUUGUUUCAUAUAUAUGUUGCAUAUGGAGAAUAAUUGUUGUGGAAUUAAUGGAUGGCUUUUGUAUGCAAAGGAAGAAAGCUUUACUUCUGGUAGCAUGACAUACAUGUAUAUAAUUCAAUAAAAAUGUUAACACUUUUUUAAACAUUUGUCUUUGUUUUUAUUAUAUAUAAAUGAAAUGAAACAGCAAUAUAAAGACUCAAAUGAUCAUCUGAUGUCCAGAGGGCAACAUACAGUCUUGAAAAAUACUAGUAGUUGUCAGUACUGUACUUUGAAAUCUUACAGGGGCAAGUAAACUCAUCAUAGAUACCAGGAUUAAAAUUUUGUAUUUGCGCCAGACACACAAUUUUGUCUACAAAAGCCUCAUUGCAAAAUAUUCUAUUAAUAAUUACAUAAUGUCAUUCAAAUAUGACAUGCGAUAACUUCUUGUAAUGACAUUAACUGUACCAAUUUUUUCUGCACCAGAUGUGUAUAUAGACAACAAAUAUAUCUUCAGUGAUGCUGUGUAAAUUAAUCAGAAUUAUCAAUACAGAGGUAUGUUCUCCUGGUUGAUCAUCAAUCUGUCAUCUUUUAUGCUGGUUUUGUACAAUCUUGUCAUGGCCAGAAUCUGUAUGUUAUUUACAUAUAAUAAUUAUAUGUAAAUAUUAUUUCUUUGUAUCAUUUACUUGGUUUUGUAAGAAAUAAAAAAUAUUGAAUCUAGGCC